AUGAGGUUCGUUUCGUGACUGUGUGUUAAUAAAAUUAAGAGGAUUAUCAAGGGACUAAUUUGUUUGCGAUGCUGUGCAGGGUAACAGCGUUGGUGGAGGGAGCCGGGAUCAGGGCAGAUCAGGUGACGGACUGGACGCGAGUGUAAGUAAUUUGUAACACAUUAGGGUGCGUGUUUUGGGUGUGUAAUCAAUGAAGGGAUUGAAUUUGAUGUGUUAUAAUGCGUUUUCAGGCAAUGACUGAUUUGGAUGCUUUAGUGUUGGCUGCUUCAGGAGAUAUGGCUGGUGGCAGGCAAUCAGAGGUAAGAGAGAUCUUUGGCUAUUAAUAUAUAGAGAAAAAGACAAAAAUAGCACUAAAUCAAGUUUAUGUUCCCAAACUAGCACUCAAGGUCAAAAGUCACAAAAAUAGCACUUAAUGUUUUAUCAAAAGUCACAAACUUAGGGUUUAGAGUUAAAGGGUGGGGUUUAGGAUUUAGGGUUUAGGGUUUAGAGUUUAGAGUUUAGGGUUUAGGGUUUAGGGUUUAGAUUUUAGGGUUUAGGGUUUAGGGUUUAGAGUUUAGGGUUUAGGGUUUAUGGUUUAGGGUUUAGGGUUUAUGGUUUAGGGUUUAGGUUUAGAGUUGAGAAAUGAGGUUUUGGGGAUAAGAUUUCAAAUUUUGAAAAAUAAAAAAAUUAAAAUUUUCAAAGGAUAAACUUAGAAAGGUUUAGGGUUUAGGGUUUAGAUUUUAGGGUUUAGGGUUUAGGGUUUAGAGUUUAGGGUUUAGGGUUUAUGGUUUAGGGUUUAGGGUUUAUGGUUUAGGGUUUAGGUUUAGAGUUGAGAAAUGAGGUUUUGGGGAUAAGAUUUCAAAUUUUGAAAAAGAAAAAAAUUAAAAUUUUCAAAUGAUAAACUUAGAAAUGUGCUAUUUUGGUCAUUUUAGUUUUUGAGUGCU
rnacentral:lncRNA from 1 species